GAUGAAGAACGCAGCGAAAUGCGAUAAGUAAUGUGAAUUGCAGAAUUCAGUGAAUCAUCGAAUCUUUGAACGCACAUUGCGCCCGCUAGUAUUCCGAGGGGCAUGCCUGUUCGAGCGUCAUUAUAACCCCUCAAGCUCAGCUUGGUGUUGGGGCCUGCUGCACUGGCAGCCCUUAAAAUCAGUGGCGGCGCCAUCUGGCUCUAAGCGUAGUAAUUCUUCUCGCUAUGGAGUCCUGGUGGAUGCUUGCCAUCAACCCCCAAUUUUUCUAUGGUUGACCUCGGAUCAGGUAGGGAUACCCGCUGAACUUAAGCAUAUCAAUAAGCGGAGGA
rnacentral:misc_RNA from 1 species